rnacentral:rRNA from 1 species
AGUGAACGCUGGCGGUAGGCCUAACACAUGCAAGUCGAACGGCAGCACAGUAAGAGCUUGCUCUUACGGGUGGCGAGUGGCGGACGGGUGAGGAAUACAUCGGAAUCUGCUUUUUCGUGGGGGAUAACGUAGGGAAACUUACGCUAAUACCGCAUACGACCUACGGGUGAAAGCAGGGGAUCUUCGGACCUUGCGCGAUUGAAUGAGCCGAUGUCGGAUUAGCUAGUUGGCGGGGUAAAGGCCCACCAAGGCGACGAUCCGUAGCUGGUCUGAGAGGAUGAUCAGCCACACUGGAAUUGAGACACGGUCCAGACUCCUACGGGAGGCAGCAGUGGGGAAUAUUGGACAAUGGGCGCAAGCCUGAUCCAGCCAUACCGCGUGGGUGAAGAAGGCCUUCGGGUUGUAAAGCCCUUUUGUUGGGAAAGAAAAGCAGCAGGUUAAUACCCCGCUGUUCUGACGGUACCCAAAGAAUAAGCACCGGCUAACUUCGUG